AUGUCAUGAUGUGGACACUUCCUAAGCAAUUCAUUGAAUCUUUCCCAUGCCUCAUGGAACGUUUCCCCAUCCCCGUGUGAAAACUCUCCAAUUAAGGUUCUCAUAGCAU